rnacentral:rRNA from 1 species
UACGUAGGGUGCAAGCGUUAAUCGGAAUUACUGGGCGUAAAGCGUGCGCAGGCGGUUUUGUAAGUCAGAUGUGAAAUCCCCGGGCUUAACCUGGGAACUGCGUUUGAAACUACAAGGCUAGAGUGUGGCAGAGGGGGGUGGAAUUCCACGUGUAGCAGUGAAAUGCGUAGAGAUGUGGAGGAACACCGAUAGCGAAGGCAGCCCCCUGGGUUAACACUGACGCUCAGGCACGAAAGCGUGGGGAGCAAACAGG